rnacentral:rRNA from 1 species
GGAUGCGAUCAUACCAGCACUAAAGCACCGGAUCCCAUCAGAACUCCGAAGUUAAGCGUGCUUGCGCGAGAGUAGUACUAGGAUGGGUGACCUCCUGGGAAGUCCUCGUGUUGCAUUCC